GGGCGUCUGUGUGGAGCUGCUGGGGCAGCAGUGAGGUGUGGACAGGCUGUUUUGGCCUCGUAAACUCAGGCAUAUCUACCAUGCUUGGAUAGAAUUACUUAGGUUUUUUUUUUUCCCUCUUCAUUCCUUUUUGUCCUCAGGGGAAGUGGGGAGUAAACCCCAUGGAUGUCCUUUAAUUUUGAUGCUCUUCCUUUGUUUUCUGUUUGAGGAAGCAGCAGUGGCUUUACCUGGUUCUGUGUGCUGCACAAUUGCCCUAACCGGGGCCAGAACAACUUCCGGCAGGAGGAGACCUGCACAGCGCUUGGCGCUGGGGGCCUCAGGGCACCCGGCCUCCAUCUUCCCUCAGGGUGGGGGCGCCCUCAGCCCCGCCGGUGGGCGGUGGGCGCAGGAGCAGCGCUGCGUGCAGCCAGGGACGAGCAGUGCACCAUGCCUCGGUAAGAAGCGGAAGCAGACCUUUAGAGAUGGACGCUUCUUUUGCCCCCCUUGGUGAAAAAAGGAUGGGAUGCUUCCAGGACAGCCACAGUUUCUGCAACACAAAGCUGAAGUUACAAGAUUGUUGUCGUAAGAAAGCAGAAGCAGUGUAUGGCAGCCUGCGCCCUGCAGUGCUGCUGUUCUUCUGUUGUUUUACAAACACUGCUACCUUUGUAGGCAGCCAGGCUGCUCAUCUCUUCUCAUUACAAGUAUAUGAAAAAAAGCGAGGCAGAGCUGCCUCUAGUAGGCUGAUGUGAAUAUGGUGAACAGCUCAGCCACCAAGAAAAGUGUAUGUUUUCAAUGAAGCCAAGCACCUGCACACAGACAAUUUCUCACUUGUAGCUGAAUGCUAUUCGGUGUUUGAGAAUGGUGAGAAUGGAAAAAAAAGCCACUGCUGUAUUUCCUUCAAGACAGACAGGAGCGUGUUUAUUUUCACCAAACAUCCAUACUCGUAUGAUGCUCUCAGCAAUGCUCAGUUGCUGACACCUUUUUAUUCGUUCUGAUACAUAUCCUGCAUGUGCAUCUCCUGUAUGUGUGCAAAUACAGGAGGAGGUAAGUCCUGAAAGCCUUCCUAUGUAUUCACUUAUGAGCUCUCAGAGGGAAACCAAAGCAAAGGACACGUUCUCAUACAAAUGGGCAAAGGUAUCUACAUUCCACAGAGCCAAGCAAUUGUCAAAUCCUGGAGAAAGUCCUAUUCUUGUCCUCCUUCAGGCAUGUAGGAAUCAUUGAAGUCUUGCAAAUAAUUAUUUUGCCUCUUUUUUACUGACCAUCUUGCAGAAGUAUGUAUUUCACCUCUCUCUCCUGGUUUUCUUUUUGCUUUUACCCCAUAUUGUGAGACAGGAUAUUAAUAUACGUUCUUCAUAUUUCUUUGUCAGUGUAACAACGUUUUCCAGGCAAAAUAUGUCACACUUUUCUCCUUUGGAUUGUUGUUUCUCUAGAGCCAUAAGAGUUGCCAUAUUAUAAAUGCCAGUGGUGAUUAAAAGCCUGUCUUGGUGGGGAAAA